UACGGGGGGAGCAAGCGUUGUUCGGAUUUACUGGGCGUAAAGGGCGCGUAGGCGGUAGCACAAGUCAGUUGUGAAAUCUCCGGGCUUAACUCGGAAAGGUCAACUGAUACUGUGCGACUAGAGUGCAGAAGGGGCAACUGGAAUUCUCGGUGUAGCGGUGAAAUGCGUAGAUAUCGAGAGGAACACCUGCGGCGAAGGCGGGUUGCUGGGCUGACACUGACGCUGAGGCGCGAAAGCCAGGGGAGCAAACAGG
rnacentral:rRNA from 1 species